AGGAUGGCGAUUCGCUGUUUGGUGUCUCGGGUCUGAUCAUGGAGAACGGGAUCCGCAGCACCUCCUGGAAUCCUUUCUGUUCAAACCCACAGGACUAUGAUGUGAAAACGGAGAACAAUGUGUUGCCAGACAUGACGAGUUUAACCAAAAGCAGCAGCAUUCAUCAGACGCCUGAGUUCUCAGACGAUCCUUUUCCAGCUCCGGACUGGGUUUUGUUUCCUCCGCCUGAUUUUUAUAAAGACGACACUGCGAAUGGCUUCCAGAGCACGUCAGCGGCAGGCACACAGAGUGAAGACACAGACAUUUUCCAGCCUUUUAAAGAGAAAGCAGGCACUGGUGUGACGCACAGCAGCUCAGCCAAUCAGAACGCAGAAUCCUGGCCUUCGUCCAAUCAGAGUGAUCCUCUCCUGGAAUUCAUCCUCUCCAGACAGAAGAAUUUCCGAGCUUCUCCACCACCAUCUGCAACCACCGGCGUUUUCCAAGAAGCGUCCGGUUUCCUCGAGACUCCUUCACUGUCCAGCUCGCCGCUCGUUUCUAAUACCAACCCGACAUCUGACCAUAUUUACAAGACAUCCUCGUCCCACAUCGAGACGUUCGAUCCUCUGUUUGCCCCUCAGAAUGAAGUCCAGUCCAAUCAGAAGAGCAGUUACGAUCUACUGUCCCAUCUUGCUUUGCCAAACCGAGCCGCUCAAGAGACGUCAGCUUUAGCAACACCUUCCACAAGCAUCUCAAACGGAGAUCCGAUGUUCAGGAGGCGUCCUCCCAAAGCUGGUCCUCGCAGUAAACCCCCGAAGAGCCUCCUCCAGCCUCCUGCUCUCUCUCAGGUACUGUAGCUCUGCUAUCUCUUUCGUAGACGAGCUCUAGCUGAUGUUUGUCUUCAGUUUUGUGCUGCCACUCGUUCUUCUGCUGGUGUUCAGAUCAGAUCCAGAC
ensembl:lncRNA